GACGUACGCUGGCGGCGUGCUUAACACAUGCAAGUCGAACGGAAAGGCCCUGCUUGCAGGGUACUCGAGUGGCGAACGGGUGAGUAACACGUGGGUGAACUGCCCUGCACUUCGGGAUAAGCCUGGGAGACUGGGUCUAAUACCGGAUAUGACCUUCCAUGUAGUGUGGGGGGUGGAAAGAUUUAUCGGUGUGGGAUGAGCCCGCGGCCUAUCAGCUUGUUGGUGGGGUAAUGGCCUACCAAGGCGUCGACGGGUAGCCGGCCUGGGAGGGUGGACGGCCACAUUGGGACUGAGAUACGGCCCAGACUCCUACGGGAGGCAGCAGUGGGGAAUAUUGCACAAUGGGCGGAAGCCUGAUGCAGCGACGCCGCGUGUGGGAUGACGGCCUUCGGGUUGUAAACCUCUUUCGACAGGGACGAAGCUUCGGUGACGGUACCUGUAUAAGAAGCACCGGCUAACUACGUG
rnacentral:rRNA from 1 species